AGGAGAGUUUGGUCCUGGCUCAGGAUGAACGCUGGCGGUAUGCCUAACACAUGCAAGUUGAACGAAAGCUUUAGCUUUAGUAGCGGACGGGUGAGUAAUACGUGAGAAUCUACCUCUAGGAGGGGGACAACAAUUGGAAACGAUUGCUAAUACCCCAUAUGCUUACAAGUGAAAAAAAAUAUUUGCCUAGAGAUGAGCUCACGCCUGAUUAGCUAGUUGGUAGGAUAAUAGCCUACCAAGGCAACGAUCAGUAGCUGGUUUGAGAGGAUGAUCAGCCACACUGGGACUGAGAUACGGCCCAGACUUCUACGGAAGGCAGCAGUGGGGAAUUUUCCGCAAUGGGCGAAAGCCUGACGGAGCAAUACCGCGUGAGGGAAGAAUGCCUGUGGGUUGUAAACCUCUUUUUUUAGGGAAGAAGAUCUGACGGUACCUAAAGAAUAAGCAUCGGCUAACUCCGUGCCAGCAGCCGCGGUAAUACGGGGGAUGCAAGCGUUAUCCGGAAUCACUGGGCGUAAAGAGUCUGUAGGUUGCUUGAUAAGUCUACUGUUAAAUAUCAGAGCUCAACUUU
rnacentral:rRNA from 1 species